CUAUGACAAAUACAAUGUUAUUAUGACUAUGUGGGAGAAAAUACCCACAGUCUUAUUCCAACCCUAAAUCUUAACUAAGCCACCAAAGUUCCACUUUCUUCACUCAAUGUGUGUCUGAGAGACCGCCAAUGACCAUGGCUGACAUCUUUCAAUACGGAAACAGUUUUGAUGAUAUAUAUAUGCAUAGCUAUAAUGGGUGUAGUGGCGCAUGCCUGCAAUCCCAGCUACUCGGGAGGCUGAGGCAGGGGAAUUGCUUGAGCCCAGGAGGUGGAGGUUGCAGUGAGUGGAGAUGGUGCCGCUGCACUCCAGCCUGGGCGAUAGAGCGAGACUCCGUCGCUCUCAAAAUAAAUAAAUAAAUAAAAAUAAAAAAAUAAAUUUAUACAAAGAAGUAGACAAUUGAACAAUUGCCAGAUAAAUUCAAUUCGUACAAAGAUCAAAUGUAGUUUUUUCAGAUGAUAGAACUAUUUUACUCCAAGAGUAGUUUUUUUUUUCCUUCCUGAAUUAUUUGUGUGAUGGCCCUGAUGAUGUAUAUCCCUUCUCCUGUGUGUAUCCUGCAGGCUGAUUUAGCUUUAAAUGUUCUAAGGAACAAGUCUUCCAUCAUUUACCUACAGAAAUCAUCUUGCAGACUGAUUUUAGUUCUUUCAGCUGCGUAUAUGUCUAAGUAUUUCUUUUCUCAUUUUAAUUCCAUUAUUUCUUUAUUCCAUCACUCCCCUUCGUUAUGUUAACACCUUUCUCCAAUAAUUUAGGAAGUUGUGCCAUUUUCUCUCAAGCAUGUCCUGGUUCUAUAGAUCUUACUCCUUUGAGUUUUCUUCAUGAUCCAAUUGAGGUCUCAAGAAUGUUGCCUUUCUCCC
rnacentral:lncRNA from 10 species